GUGAGAAGUUCAUAGAUCAGUAGGCAGAUGUGUAUCUUUUCCGUUAUUUGUUCUUCGUAGGCCUAACCUACCCACUAAACGAAAUGUUUGGCUGAAUUGAUAUACCAAAUACGUUCUAGGAAAUUAUUAUGGCAAACUUUAUUUCCCGUAGCUGUUUAAAAGUCCUCUUAUGAGCGCUGGCUUGUAUUCAACAUGGAGAAGGGCUUAGCUCAAAGUCGGGCAGGAUACCUUGCGGGGCGUCGAACAAUACUAAUUGUUUUAAUGCUGUACUCGUUAAUUCUUGGAAUUGUAAGUGUAAACUAUUUAUACGUCCAGAACUUACGACGAGUGACACCACAAAAUGCGUCGGCGACGCAAGCUCCUAUGCACGUGCAAAACAUACGCGACAUUGUGCAGAACUUACAAGCAGAAAAAUCUGAAUUUAUUUUCAAGGGAGGAAUGCAAACGCAAGACAAUUAUCUGAACAGUAAUAUAAAUAAUAGCACCUUGUCAAAAAAAAUUUCUUCAUUGCCCAGUUCCAUAUCACAUUCAACAACUCAUAAGGUGUUAUCAAUACAAAAUAGAACUAUUGUUAAUGCACAUACUAAUAGUACUUUUUCAAACGUUCAGAAGCAACCAAUAGAGACGCCAGUCGUCAAUACGGCAAUUGUCAAUGAGGCGGUCGUCAAUAAGAUGAUCGUCAAUACGGCAGUUGUCAAUGAGGCGGUCGCCAAACAGGCAGUCAUCAACGAGGCAGUCGUCAAUACGGCAGUUGUCAAUGAGGCGGUCGUCAAUACUGCAGUUGUCAAUAACACGGUUGUCAAUAUAGCGAUUCUCAAUAAUAAGAGCCUGUUGCCACCUGUUCAGAAAGAGUUCCCCCGGCCGUCUGUUUUAUUCCGUUACAAAUCUAUGAGGACAAGUAAGCCUUUUGAAAACCACUGUAAAAAAUGUGCAAUAGUUUCAAGCUCUGGUCAGUUACUCGGCAAUGGACUGGGCCCAGAAAUCGACAGUUAUCCCUGUGUCAUUCGUAUGAACACUGCCCCCGUACGUGGCUUUGAGAAAGACGUUGGCCGCAAGACUACCAUUCGUGUUUCAUGUUUCAUAUCCACAAAGGGCCUUAUGUCCACCCCCUCACUGUUCACUGGGGAAGGGAAACCAGAGAAAGUUCUGAUGUGGGGACUGCAUCACCAGAAGAACUCAUGGGCUUUGAGAAAUGCGAAAUCUUUGAACGCCAAAUAUCGAGAUGUGGAGUUUUUCGCACAGGAACAAGCGGGUGAGGUAUUUGCCGGAGAAAUCUUCAAAGAGGAAACUGGCCAAGAUAGGGCUAAGACAAACACAUGGUUGUCAACAGGUUGGUUCACAAUGAUGGUAGCACUGGAUAUGUGCGAUGAAAUACAUAUCUAUGGGAUGAUCCCUGAGGACUUCUGCCUGAAGAAUCCAAAUUCCAAAGUGAAAUACCACUAUUACCAAGUAUCACCAAAUCCAGCUGAAUGUAGCUAUUACAAGUCACAAGAGGGCAGCUCAAGAGGUGGCCACAGGUUUAUGACGGAGAAAGCUAUCUUUGAACGUUGGGGGAGACGUUACAACAUGACAUUCCACAACCCAGUCUGGGAUCUAAGCCCACGGGAAACUGAACGGAAAAUCGAAACUCCCUUUAUGCAAAAAUAUGCUAAAAAGGGAAGGUAACAUUGGGGACAUGAAGCGAAUAUCAUGAAAACUAUAUUAAAUCUUAAUAAUAAUAAUAUAAAUAUAAAUUAUAAAUAAUAUCGAGUACAUGCCUCUAUUGGAUCUACUCCUGACUCUAGUCUGUUAAUUGUGCUUGUGGCGCGCACAUUAACAUUUCCAUUAAUGGUAACGUUACAUGGCAACUAGGUGUAGACAAUCUACAGUCAGAAUUUAUGCACUUCAGGCAGCUAGGUCUACCAAGCUGACUUGUAGUUGCGCAAUCACUUUGUGAAAGUCGACACGAGCGUUACUAUUGGGGUUGAGUCAAGUUACAAUUGCAACAUAAGGGGCGGAUUGCUAUAAGCGGUCCGGCUUUAAUCGUGAUGUCUCUACUGGUCUAUGAUUUUAGACCAUUGCUAUACCGCGGUCUAACCAGUUAGCCGUCUUAAAUUUUAAAGCCUACUUGUAGGAGGCUUAAAAAAGGUCUUAAAUCAUUUUCAUCACGGCGUUAUAGAUACUAGACCUAUGUCUAGAUCGUCAAAGACUAAGAAUCGAACAACGAAUAUUCCGCAAGCUUCUUAGUGUCUGUAAAAACUAGUCUACGUUUAUUUAUGUUCAUUUUGAUUAAUAUGCAUGUUUUGAGCCAGCGCAACAGCACCCUCAAUUUUAAUUUACCAAGGAACGCGUGUUUGCAUUUCAAUACUCAAAGUGGUCUAAGAGAAGAACGUUUUAUAACAAUGGUCUUAGUAGAGUGACUUUAAUAAGACCGUCUAAGUGAUAAAGCCGACUUUUAAGCCGACGAGUUAAGACUAUCGGUUAAGACCGUUUUAUAGCAAUCCGCCCAAGCUUGGCUUAAAACUUGCAUUCACGUCCAUGACAGUAGUGGAUACCGCAGCUACAGAAAAGCAUAAUAACACAAAUGCUUAAAACGUUUCUAAUAAAGUUUGCUGAUUAAUUAUGUCCAUAACAAUUUUUUUUCUAAACUAAAGUUGGAAAAUAUUUUCUGUGAUUUUAAAAGGUUAUAUUAGCAUACAUAUUUCUAUUAAUGUAAUGUCCAAGUAUUUUUGUACCGCGCUUUUCCAGUGGAUACAAAACACUAAUCCCGAAAAUUUAAGUUCACAAUAUUGAGUGGUAUCUAUGUGUAUUCAUGUAGGCAAAUUUUAAAGAUUAAAUGUAAAUAAAAUUUUUUUAAUACAAUUCAAAACUUCAAAGUAUAUUGCAAAAAAUAAUUGCACCAAUUAAGAAAAUAUGGUGAAAAGUAACUGUUUACAAUGCAGUAAAGGCUGCGAAGAUCGCAGCAAAUAGACUUAUUAAUUAUCUUUUUAAUUUUUUUUUUUUCUUUUUCUUUUCUAAAAUUAAAGUUACAUUUUGCUAUGGAAACUACAGUAUAUCAUUGAAGAUAUAGCAUUUUUUAUAAAAAAAAAUUUUUUUAACUGAAUUUUUCAUUUAAAGGACCAAAUAAGUUAUGAAAUUACAAAGACAAUUUAGUUUUUGCUAAAAGGUUAAGAGUUAUUGUAAAGGAAUAUAUAAAUGGUGAUGGUAUUGAUGCAUCUUUUAUGUGGAAAGCAAAAUAUUUUCUUUUUCAAAUUUUUAAUACGAAGCUAUUAAACUCUGUUCACUA
rnacentral:misc_RNA from 1 species